GAUGAACGCUGGCGGCGUGCCUAAUACAUGCAAGUCGAGCGAACAGACGAGGAGCUUGCUCCUCUGACGUUAGCGGCGGACGGGUGAGUAACACGUGGAUAACCUACCUAUAAGACUGGGAUAACUUCGGGAAACCGGAGCUAAUACCGGAUAACAUGUUGAACCGCAUGGUUCAACAGUGAAAGACGGUCUUGCUGUCACUUAUAGAUGGAUCCGCGCCGCAUUAGCUAGUUGGUAAGGUAACGGCUUACCAAGGCAACGAUGCGUAGCCGACCUGAGAGGGUGAUCGGCCACACUGGAACUGAGACACGGUCCAGCCUCCUACGGGAGGCAGCAGUAGGGAAUCUUCCGCAAUGGGCGACAGCCUGACGCAGCAGCGCCGCGUCAGUGAAGAAGGUCUUCGGAUCGUAAAACUCUGUUAUUAGGGAAGAACAAAUGUCUAAGUAACUAUGCCCGUCUUGACGGUACCUAAUCAGAAAGCCACGGCUAACUACGUG
rnacentral:rRNA from 1 species